GACGAACGCUGGCGGCGUGCCUAAUACAUGCAAGUCGAGCGCAGGAAACUGACGGAACUCUUCGGAGGGAAGGCAGCGGAAUGAGCGGCGGACGGGUGAGUAACACGUAAGGAACCUGCCUCAAGGAUUGGGAUAACUCCGAGAAAUCGGAGCUAAUACCGGAUAGUUCAACGGACCGCAUGGUCCGCGGAUGAAAGGCGCUUCGGCGUCACCUUGAGAUGGCCUUGCGGUGCAUUAGCUAGUUGGUGGGGUAACGGCCCACCAAGGCGACGAUGCAUAGCCGACCUGAGAGGGUGAUCGGCCACACUGGGACUGAGACACGGCCCAGACUCCUACGGGAGGCAGCAGUAGGGAAUCUUCCACAAUGGACGAAAGUCUGAUGGAGCAACGCCGCGUGAGUGAUGAAGGUUUUCGGAUCGUAAAACUCUGUUGUAAGGGAAGAACACGUACGAGAGGAAAUGCUCGUACCUUGACGGUACCUUACGAGAAAGCCACGGCUAACUACGUGCCAGCCGCCGAUGUAA
rnacentral:rRNA from 1 species